GGAAAAAACAAACUUAGCAGUUUAAAUUAGCAAUUAGCUUCUUGUGGUCAUGUUUAAAAGUAGGUCUGCCUGGUUUUCAAGCAGUGUGUCACAGGAAUGUCGCACAUUUUGGAUACAACAGGGUGGGACCAUCGCUGGAUGGAGGGGAGCAGAUUAUCUUUUCAGUGAGGACGCUGCAUGUGCAGAUACCUUGAGGAUAUUUGAGAGUAAAUGUUUCCUCCGUGACAAGGUGACAGUUUUUCAUAGCUUGUUUCUAACCACCUGUGAGGGGCGCCAGAGUUUCAAGUCUGUGUGCAUUGGCCAUUACGUGCUGCCUCCAGCCUCGGUCCAGGACGAGGUAAGGCACGUGGUUGGGAGGUUGAUUUGGGAGUCUGAGGACGAGUCGUCAGAGGCAGAGUGCUCCCAGGAUGAGUUCACUGAAGGAGACAAAAGCAGAAGCAAGUGUGUCAUUCAAUGGUGACUUUUCUGACACGGACUCAUCAGAUGUUGAGGCCUCUCUCUUACGUCAUUUGCAGGAUUGUCCAGUUAGAAACAUGCAAACAGGUUAUAUCAGCAUGGACGCCCUGCAGAAAUAUUCAGGUGAUCUGUGUGAUUUCCAUCCCAGGUGUUGGCAAUGCUGCACAUCAGCGAACAUGCACUGAGUUCAGAGAGUUCAUGAACUAAAAGCUGUAUAUUGGCAGACACUUUUUGUUCAUUAUGCUUAUAUUGCCUCCCUGCAUUCAUAUUGGC